GUCCUUUAUUCAUCCUUCAAGCAUGCAUGAAAAACAAACUAUUAUAUCUCGGUUUUUAACUUCCUCAUCUGCAAAAUGAGGUUCCUGGAAUAGAUAAUCUGAAAUCCCUUCAGCCUCUAAGUCGAUCCUAUAAUCUACACUAUAAUCAUCCCACCUACAUUUGUCAUAUAUGCCUUACAUAAAGUAAUUUAUGUAUCAGUUUUAAGCUCUCUAUUGAAUU
rnacentral:lncRNA from 1 species